UGGAACCUGCUUCAGAUUCUGUCUCCUCCUCUCUCUGCCCCUCCCCUGCUUAUGCUCUGUCUUUCUGUGUCUCAAAAGUAAAUGAAUAAAAAUUGAAGGAAAAAAAAGAAUGUAGAUGUUUCAACAAGCCAACACACACACGCAACUAAAGAAGGAGGGCAUAGAGGUGGGAAAAUGUAUGAAGGAGAAGGAAAAGAAAGAGAAAAAGGUUGAGAAGGAGGGAAUUAGAUCCCAAGAAGAGAGGAGGGGGAGGUGGAACCAGUAGCUAUACAUCAAAGAAUUAGUUAUCUGUGUCCCGAGGACUUGAGAGUUGACCUGCUAUCAGUUAUCAAGCAGUGAGGAUCUGAAAAUGAAGAGGAAGAUGAGCAUCGGCUAUAUCAAAAAUCAAAAUGGAGACCGCCUGAAGGGAGUAAAACCACAGACACACGUAUUCCCCGCAAAGAGUUCUUGGGCCGAAUCACUCAAAGAGCUGGGAAAUGAAUAAGAAAAUGUUCUUGCCUAUGGAAGUCAUGGGACAUGCCCAGUAUCUACCCCAUUAUUGUCCGGCUGCACAGGAGACCUCUAUAAUGAGCCCACUCACAGUAUCCGCGACGUCUCGUGAAUGUGCAGCCAGAAGAGUGAAACUAGGGAUUUCAGUUCUGGAGGCGUUAUGUUGGUGCGGUGGAGCAAAGCCAGUCAUUUCGCUGUACUGAAAUAAAUGUGGAACCAAACAGAAAGAAAGUUAAAGUCUUCAAUGAAUGAACAUUUUCAAUACAAGAAAAAAGAGAGACGCCAAAAAAGUAG
rnacentral:lncRNA from 1 species